GACGAACGCUGGCGGCGUGCUUAACACAUGCAAGUCGAACGGAAAGGCCCUGCUUUUGUGGGGUGCUCGAGUGGCGAACGGGUGAGUAACACGUGAGUAACCUGCCCUUGACUUUGGGAUAACUUCAGGAAACUGGGGCUAAUACCGGAUAGGAGCUCCUGCUGCAUGGUGGGGGUUGGAAAGUUUCGGCGGUUGGGGAUGGACUCGCGGCUUAUCAGCUUGUUGGUGGGGUAGUGGCUUACCAAGGCUUUGACGGGUAGCCGGCCUGAGAGGGUGACCGGCCACAUUGGGCCUGAGAUACGGCCCAGACUCCUACGGGAGGCAGCAGUGGGGAAUAUUGCACAAUGGGCGGAAGCCUGAUGCAGCAACGCCGCGUGCGGGAUGACGGCCUUCGGGUUGUAAACCGCUUUCGCCUGUGACGAAGCGUGAGUGACGGUAAUGGGUAAAGAAGCAACGGCUAACUACGUG
rnacentral:rRNA from 1 species